CACAUAGUGACUCCCGGUAACC
rnacentral:miRNA from 1 species